AUGAGCAUGGGGCAUGAAACUGGGACACAGUCAAAAUACCUGCUCAGCUAUCACUUCCUGCCAGAGGUCUUCUCUGACCAUCUUCCCGGGCCGGAGACCUCAGCCUCAACAUUUUCUCACCAUUGCUUGCUGCUGAGUUUCACGACUAUCUGUCAUCACCUUGUGUAUCUGCUCAAGUUCAUCUACUCAGAAGACACUCGGGGAUUGAAGGACCGGCCCACGAUUUGGUAGGUAUUUGCAUCUCGUCCGGCCACACCCACCCUCCGCAUCCUUUCCCUCAGUCGGCGCGCCAGAUGUCUCACUUACCCAAGCCCUCCCGCCAGACCGCCUAGAGGCCACCCGGCUACGGACGGCCCCGAGAGGCUC
rnacentral:lncRNA from 1 species